rnacentral:rRNA from 2 species
GAUUUCUGGUUUAAUGCGCUUGUCCCGCCACGGUUACGUGUGUGAGUGAUGGGUCGUGUUUACCAUCCUUCUAGAAAAUGUAUAUUGUCUCUUCACUGAGUUCAGUAUAUCACAAUCUAGAUCUUUUACUUUGAAAAAAUUAGAGUGUUUAAAGCAGGCAUUUGCUAUGAAUACAUUAGCAUGGAAUAAUAAUUUAGGACUUCGGUUCUAUUUUGUUGGUUUCUAGAACUGAAGUAAUGAUUGAUAGGGAUAGUUGGGGGUGCUAGUAUUCAGUGGCCAGAGGUGAAAUUCUCGGAUUCACUGAAGACUAACUUAUGCGAAAGCAUU